GAUGAACGCUGGCGGCGUGCCUAAUACAUGCAAGUCGAGCGAACGGACGAGAAGCUUGCUUCUCUGAUGUUAGCGGCGGACGGGUGAGUAACACGUGGAUAACCUACCUAUAAGACUGGGAUAACUUCGGGAAACCGGAGCUAAUACCGGAUGAUAUUUUGAACCGCAUGGUUCAAAAGUGAAAGACGGUCUUGCUGUCACUUAUAGAUGGAUCCGCGCUGCAUUAGCUAGUUGGUAAGGUAACGGCUUACCAAGGCAACGAUGCAUAGCCGACCUGAGAGGGUGAUCGGCCACAAUGGAACUGAGACACGGUCCAGACGCCUACGGGAGGCAGCAGUAGGGAAUCUUCCGCAAUGGGCGAAAGCCUGACGGAGCAACGCCGCGUGAGUGAUGAAGGUCUUCGGAUCGUAAAACUCUGUUAUUAGGGAAGAACAUAUGUGUAAGUAACUGUGCACAUCUUGACGGUACCUAAUCAGAAAGCCACGGCUAACUACGUG
rnacentral:rRNA from 1 species